rnacentral:rRNA from 1 species
GACGGAGGAUGCAAGCGUUAUCCGGAAUGAUUGGGCGUAAAGCGUCUGUAGGUGGUUUUUAAAGUCUUCUGUCAAAGAUCAGGGCUUAACCCUGGGUCGGCAGAAGAAACUUAAAAGCUGGAGUCUGGUAGGGGCAGAGGGAAUUCCCGGUGUAGCGGUGAAAUGCGUAGAGAUCGGGAAGAACACCAAUGGCGAAGGCACUCUGCUGGGCCACGACUGACACUGAGAGACGAAAGCUAGGGGAGCAAACGGG